GCGGGCAUGGUGAAAUGGUAUCAUAAGAGCCUUCCAAGCUUAAGGUGCGGGUUCGAUUCCCGCUGCCCGCUCCA
rnacentral:tRNA from 2 species